rnacentral:rRNA from 1 species
GCUGUCUAUAAGUAUUCUAAAGGCACCAGAUUCCAUCUUAUCUUGGAAGAUAAGCAGGAUCAGAUUUGAUUAGUACUUGGAUGGGAGACUGUCAGUCAGUAUCAGGUGCCGUAAGCU